GAAUCCUUAAUGCGUUCUCAAGGCCCAGCCCAGGCGGCGCUUGCCACGUCCGCCUCUCCUGGUUUCGGUUUCCGUGUGUCUCCAUCUUGGCCUGCGCAGACCCGACGUCGGCAGAGUGAAGUCUCUGAGAUCUGAGCCACCCCAGCUACCACUUAGGGCAAAACGGGUUACAGAGACCAAGCAGAAAGACAGGGAGAGCCUGUGCUUCCAAUCUUCCGAUCCUGGUAGGAUAAAAAGUGUUCUCUCACCACAGAGCGCCUCUACUGCAAGAACUCUGAAAGAAAUGAAGAAAGCCUUCCAAAAUGAAGUUGACAUCUCGUGGUACGCCGAGCCCUGCUGAGUGGAUGGAAGCUGGGUGAGAGCCUGGCCGCUGACUUCUGGACCAUGGCGAUGUGCCCCGUGUCCGCCGAGGUCAUCCACCAGGUGGAGGAGUCCCUUGACGAGGACGAGAAGGAGAUGAUGCUUUUCUUAUGUAGAGAUGUGGCCGAGAACCUGGCCCCACCUAACGUGAGGGAGCUCCUGGGCAGCUUAAGUGAGAGAGGUCAGCUCUCUGUGGCUACCCUGGCUGAACUGCUCUACAGAGUGAGGCGCUUCGACCUGCUCAAGAGGGUUUUGAAGACAGACAAAGCAGCCGUGGAGGCUCACCUUCAUAGGAACCCUCACCUUGUUUCUGAUUAUAGGGUGCUGAUGAUGGAGAUUGGUGAGAAUUUGGAUAAAUCCGAUGUUUCCUCGUUAAUUUUCCUUACAAGAGAUUACACAGGCCGAGGCAAGGUAACCAAGGACAAGAGUUUCUUGGAUCUGGUGAUUGAACUGGAGAAACUGAAUCUGAUUGCUUCAGAUCAAUUGAAUUUAUUGGAAAAAUGCCUGAAGAAUAUCCACAGAAUAGACUUGAAGACAAAAAUUCAGAAGUACACGCAGUCUGGCCAAGGAGCAGGAUUAAAGUAUAUGAACUCUCUCCAGGCUUCUCUUCCAAACUUGAGUGUCAAGGAGCCUUCGUAUAAUUCAAGGUUCCAGAAUGGGCGAAGUAAAGAACAAAGACUUGUGGAAAACCUUGGCAUUCAAAAAAAACCAGUGAAGACAUCCAUCCAGGAAUCGGGAGCUUUUCUGACUCCGCACAUAUACGAAGAGAGUUACAGGAUGCAGAGCAAGCCCCUAGGGAUCUGCUUGAUCAUUGAUUGCAUUGGCAAUGACACAGAAUAUCUUCGAGAGACCUUCAUUUCCCUGGACUAUCAUGUCCAGUCUUUCUUGUUUCCUAGUGCGGAUGAUAUACCCCAGAUUCUUCGCCGAUUUGCCCAUCUGCCCCAACAACGAGACUAUGACAGCUUCGUAUGUGUUCUAGUGAGCCGAGGAGACUCCCAAAGAAUGAUGGGCGUGGAUCAGGCCCACUCAGGAUUCUCCUGGGAUUGUGUCAAGAGUAUGUUCAUGGGGGACAUGUGCCCUUCUCUCAUAGGGAAGCCAAAGCUCUUCUUUAUUCAGAACUAUGAGGUGAUAGGUGGCCAGUCAGAAGACAGCAGCCUGGAGGUCGAUGGGCCAGCAAUAAGGAAUUGGGACUCUAAGGCCCUGCAUCCUGGCCCCAGCAUGAUUCACCGGGAAGCCGACUUCUUCUGGAGCCUUUGCACAGCGGAUGUGUCCCAGCUGGAGAAGCCCUCCAGCUCAUCCUCUGUGUACCUGCAGAACCUCUCCCAGAAGCUGCAGCAAGAAAGGAAACGCCCGCUCGUGGAUCUCCAUGUCGAGCUCACGGACAAGGUUUAUACCUGGAACAGCAGAGUUUCUCCUAAGGAGAAAUACUAUUUGAGCCUGCAGCAUACUCUGCGAAAGAAGCUCAUCUUAUCUACAUGAAAACCUGAUGCCUUUCGGGUUUUUGGAAUGUAGACCAGGGUGGCUUGGAGCUGGCAAACCUCCUGAUUGCUGGGGAACAGCACUGGAAGGUCACACCUGCUCUGGUUCUGGUGCAAGGGCUGCUGCCAUGGACCACACCACUCCAGCCACCAUUCCUCCCCACUAUGAUGGCCAAGUGAACCUCUCCUCCUUAAGUUCCUGUGUCAGAUAUUUUGGCACAGUGUGGAGAAUGAUGGGAGCUCUCGGCUUUCUUCUGCUGCCGCCACGCCUGCUGGAGGCUUGCUGCCGUGCUUCUCUGCCAGGACAGACUUUCUCCUGGAACUGUUUCAUGCUUUUUGAACAAGGCCAUCCCCUCAGAUUUGGAAAACCAUUGGAGGCACAACCAAGUGUGAUGUACUUUCACCUACCCUACAACUCAAGCAGGGCUUGGCUCAAAGGAAACAACAAAAAUCCAAAAGGCACCAUACAAGGAUGGAAAAGGACACACCCAGAGACAAGCUGCAGAGAAGACUCAGAGACCAGAGCAGCUGCCUGGAAGAGGCAGAAACCAGCUGAGCUGCCUGGAAGGUUUAGACCAACCGAGGCACCUGGAAAGGACAGUGUCCAAAGUGUUGACAGCCUGCAGGCUGUCCAGUGUGCUCCAGGUCCCCAGCGUUGUGAGCUGUCACCCAUGCUUGGGUGGGCUUUGGUGAUGCAGCUGUCUUCCAGUCAUUUCUGCUCACGUAAGUAAGCCCUCACGAGUAUUCCUGUAAGUAUCCCAAUAAAAUUCAUUGGUUCACAAA